GAUGAACGCUGGCGGCGUGCCUAAUACAUGCAAGUCGAGCGAACAGACGAGGAGCUUGCUCCUCUGACGUUAGCGGCGGACGGGUGAGUAACACGUGGAUAACCUACCUAUAAGACUGGGAGAACUUCGGGAAACCGGAGCUAAUACUGGAUAAUAUAUUGAACCGCAUGGUUCAAUAGUGAAAGACGGUUUGGCUGUCACUUAUAGAUGGAUCCGCGCCGCAUUAGCUAGUUGGUAAGGGAACGGCAUACCAAGGCAACGAAGCGUAGCCGACCUGAGAGGGUGAUCGGCCACACUGGAACUUAGACACGGUCCCGACUCCUACGGGAGGCAGCAGUAGGGAAUCUUCCGCAAUGGGCGGAAGCCUGACGGAGCAACGCCGCGUGAGUGAUGAAGGUCUUCGGAUCGUAAAACUCUUUUAUUAGGGAAGAACAAAUGUGUAAGUAACUAUGCACGUCUUGACGGUACCUAAUCAGAAAGCCACGGCUAACUACGUG
rnacentral:rRNA from 1 species